ACCAAGGCGCAACGUGGCUGAAAGUAAACGAUGAUCCUCAAGGAACUCUACGUUAAAAUACGAAUCAAAAUGCAAAAUGAAUCCUGGCCUGGUGGCAACUCCGGGUGAGGUUUUUU
rnacentral:sRNA from 1 species